rnacentral:rRNA from 1 species
GGUGCCACCAUCAGGUGGCCGCAGAGAAUAGGCCCAAGCGACUGUUUACCAAAAACAUAGGUUUCUGCUAAGUCGCAAGACGAUGUAUAGGGGCUGACGCCUGCCCGGUGCUGGAAGGUUAAGGGGAGCUGUUAGAGCAAUCGAAGCAGUGAACUUAAGCCCCAGUAAACGGCGGCCGUAACUAUAACGGUCCUAAGGUAGCGAAAUUCCUUGUCGGGU